UUUUGUGUAAAAUGUGAAAAAAAAUGGUUCGACUCACUUAUAAACGGACUGUGGGUUAAUUAAAAGAAACUACAGGGGCUUUUCUGCAAAAACACCACAACGGACAGAAAUCAUCGGUACUUUAUUAUUAGGAAGGGAUUAAAAAACUUCCGUGAAAGCAUAAACGUGGUAACCGGGAGUGUUUAUUUUUAGCCUCCAUUUAUGCAUGUAUGCACUCAUGUCUUUUAUUUUAUUUUUAAAAUUUUAAAUUGUCUGGUCAAAUACAUGUG
rnacentral:lncRNA from 1 species